AUGGGGUCCCACAGGUUCUUCUGUAUCGUCGUCAUGUUGGUCGCCGCGACGUGGUCGAGCACCGCCUCGAGGCCGGCCACGUCCCUCUCCGCCACCUGCAGCGAGAUGUCCGGCCACCGGAGGACGCCGGGGAACGGCAGCCGUAUGUUGUCGGCGAUGAUGACGGGGAUGCAGCCCAGGAGGACCGACUCCACCAGACGAGGGCUCCAUGGCGCCCACCCGAGCGGGCAGAGGCAGAACAAGGAGCGCGCCAUCUCCGACCGGUAG
rnacentral:rRNA from 1 species